CCCUUAGAUGUUCUGGGCCGCACGCGUGCUACACUGGUACAAUCACUAAGUUUCUGAGUAGUUAUGCUUGGGCAAUCUUGAAAACUGUACCGUGACGGGGCUUGACUGUUGAAAUUUUCUGUCACUAACGAGGAAUUCCUAGUAAAUGUGGGUCAUGAACUCACGUUGAUUACGUCCCUGCCCUUUGUACACACCGCCCGUCGCUCCUACCGAUUGGGUGUGCUGGUGAAAUGUUCGGAUCGGCCGUUUGUCGCGGUUUCCGCGUCAUGUGGCUGAGAAGUUCAUUAAACCCUCCCACCUAGAGGAAGGAGAAGUCGUAACA
rnacentral:rRNA from 1 species